UAGAUGGAAGGUCAGGACUGCUCUCCAGCUGGUGAAAGGAUGGUUCAGUCGCCUGAAAACAACCGGGAAGAAAGGGUCCCUGAAUCUGGAGGUGUGCGUUUCACACUUCUGUACCUCUUGCCAGAGGGGAGAAGACGGAGUGACCGGGGUGACACUCAUCCUUGAUUAUGCUGCUGGCCUUGCCGAGGCAGCGUGAGGUGUAGACGGAGUCAAUGGAAGGGAGGUUGGUUUGUGUGAUGGUCUGGGCUGCGUCCACAACUCUCUGGAAUUUCUUGCGUUCUUGAAUGGAGCUGUUCCCAAACCAUGCUGUAAUGCAUCCCGAUAAAAUGCGAUAGUUCACAUCAUGGGUUCCUGCCACUGAUGGAGGUGGAGGCCGGAUCUCUGGAUCUUUCAAGAGAGAGCUAGAUAGGGCUCUUAAAGAUAUCGGUCAGGGGAUAUGGGGAGAAGGCAGGAGCGGGGUACUGAUUGGGGAUGAUCAGUCCUGAUCACAUUGAAUGGCGGUGCUAGCUCGAAGGGCCGAAUGACCUACUCCUGCACCUAUUGACAAUUCACCUUAAACCUAUGCCCUCUGGUUCUCGAUUCUACAACUCUGGACAAGGUAGUGAGGUGGACCCGGUGAGCCGAGGGGCCUGUUUCCGCGCUGUAUCUCUAAACUAAACUAAGCUUCAAUAGUAGGUGGCAGACAAAAAUGCUGGUGAAACGCAGCGGGUGUGGCAGCAUCUAUGGAGCGAAGGAAAUAGGCAACGUUUCGGGCCGAAACCCUUCUUCAGACUUCAAUAAUGUUUUAUUGUUAAUGUUUUGUGUCAUUCCUAACUGUCAUGGUAUGUCAUAUUGUCACUUGCGGGCGGAGCACCAAGGCAAAUUCCUUGUAUGUGAAUACUUGGCCAAUAAACCUUUUCAUUCAUUCAUGAACAUAACAUUAGCUUCACUCAAUGUGGGGAAAGUGCGGGGACGUGUACUUUAAGAUAGACUAUUAUCCAGAUGGAGACAUACAUCAAAUGAUGGAGUAGAGAGGGUUCUAUUCUGGAGAUGUGGAAAAUGGAGAAAUUGUUGCAACAGUACAGGGUGUUGGUCAGUCGGUCGUUCUGUACCCGGAGUGCUGGGUACCCUAGGGUCACGAGGCCACCUCCGUGGAUGAGAGAGCUGACCCCAGACAAAUGGAGUCAGAAACCGGAUCUGUAUUCCUUGGAGCUCCGGAGGUUUAGGUGUGAACACAAUGAAACUGUUGAGAUGUUUUCACAACUGGCAGAGUCUCAAGAAAGGGUUUGGUCAGUUAAAUCUGAGAUGUGUAGGGGUUGAGGGCGGCACGGUGGCGCAGUGCUAGAGUUACAGCGCCAUUUUCUCGGCUAUCACUAAAUGGGCUCCAUGACAUUUUUCACUGAUGGACCAUUAUAGCCGGGUGUCAUGGAUCUUGAUGGAAAUGUGGAGAAAUGUAGUCCAACUCAGGGCAAGCCCAAGAUAGGGGUGGCACGAUGAUGCAGUGGUAGAGUUACUGCCGCACAGUUUGUACGUGACCUGUGUGGGCUUCCCCCGGGUGCUCCGGUUUUCUCCCACACUCGUGAAGAUGUACAGAUUUGUAGGUUGGGCUUCGGUCAAAUUGUAAAUUGUCCCAAGUGUGUGGGACAGUGUUAGUAUACGGGGUGAUCGCUGGUCGGCGCGGACUCGUUGGGCCGAAGAGCCUGUUUCCACGCUGUAUCUCUAAAGUCUAAAGUCACCUCUCCAUUUUCUCCACAGAGAUGCUGCCUGACCCGCUGAUUACUCCAGCAUUCUGUGUCUAUCAAGGUUCACGUCCAGGAGCUGAUUAUUCUUCUAACGUGGAGGAAGGAUGGAUCCAGAUACAAGCGUGGACAUGGAGCUGACUAUGUUGGAUAUGGUACUGGUACCUCGUGGCUCUCUAGAAAUCCAUGGAAAUAUCAAAGUA